rnacentral:sRNA from 1 species
UAAAUUUUCUAAAACAGCGUCACCAGCUGGGAGGCAACCAUUUCACACUCAAAACACAAGUUUUUUUUUUUCCCCCACAAGUCUGGGUGGCUUCUUCUCAGGCACCGCGCUCUUUGUGUGGGGAUUCUUGGGGGUUUUGUUCCAGCUCGUGACUUGGGAGAGAAGCCAAGCCAAUUAGGGGUGAAGUCCAGACCUGCAGAACAUGCUAGUGUUGCCAAGAAGCUUAGACCCUGACCCAGGAUGCAGUGGGCAUGGAAGGACACGGUCCUUGGCUUGAUGGCUUCAUAAUGCUCAGUUCAAAUCCCACCUCUUGGCCACAUGCUGAGUCAAGAUCAGUGGUGAUAAAAUCCUUCCGAUGUGGGAAGUCCGACUCAUCCCUUUCUACCUUCCAUUCCGGUCAAGGCCUGCCAAGAAUCCCACCGUGAGUAGUGUGCCCUUCUGACUGCAGGAGAGGAGAGUUUCUGCAGAGUGCUGUGAAUUGGAUACUUUAGUAUUUUGCAGAGCCGCUAGCCUGAGGCUCUUACUAGGACGUGGGCAGACAAUCAAGAAUCCCGCGCUGGUUCAUGUGCUCUGCCAGGGCUCUACUGCGAUGGACUAAUUUGCAUAAAUCUGCUUCUGAGCACAGCUGGCCUUGCAAUAGGAAAGCGAGUUAUACCCUUUCUCGACUCACCUCUUGCUCCACUGAGUAACUUUUGCACAGCAAGUCCCCACCCAGUGAACCAGAUCAGUCACAGAAGACACCCUGCCUCCGGCUUCCCCAGCAAGCUCCAAUCUGAGCACGCUGAAGUGGUCCCCACAGCUCUGCUUCUUUAAGUCUUUCCACUUCUUCCUGCUUCUGCGCCUCUGCUGAUUGGCAAAGCACAAUGCUGGUGGCCUUGCUGUGGCAACGAGGUGGAAGCGAAUGGCCUACCUGCUCUUUGUCUCGGGAUUGGGGAUGACUUUUGUUUCUACACAGAGUGAGAUAGCUUCUUGCUGUCAUUUUAGAAGGACAGAGCCAUAUGAGCCUUCAUGGGGAGAAGGGAAGAGGGCUGUGGAAUAAGGUAACCUGUCCUUUUCGAUGAACCCUGGAUUCUUAAAAGAGAGGCAUUGGUUCAGAGUGAAAUGGACAUUCUCCUGGGUCAGGCAGUGACAGACAACAGUAGGCUCUAAGCAGAGUGCUGUCUAUGACCACCUUUCUAACCCCAGAGAAGACGUUAGCAUCUCUGAUCGCCCACAGUGAAAUAUGGAUGAUUCAGCUCCUCCAGGGGUAAAGUGUGUUCUACUGCAGAUGCUGCUGACAUCAUGGGCAACCUACUCCAUCUGUCAUUUCCUCCCAGCAUUCUGCUGUCUCAGGGCUCUUGCUCUCAUCAUGUUUCCCAGCAGAGCCACAGGUGGUAAAGCCAGUUGUCAAGCCAUAGAUGACAAGUGUGACCCCACAAUGCCCAGCCAGGGCAUGAGGGAGGGGUUACCCUAAGGGAGGCCAGGCAGGGGCAUCAGUGCUCAGGAAGAGGGGUUGGCAUACCCUCAAGGUCUAAAGAAUAAGCUUCACUCCACAGAGAAGACAGACCAGUGGUUGGUUAAUUAAUAAACAUCUCUUGUCUCCCA